AUGCAAGUAACUUUUUCCCGCCUUGCUGGAGGAGAUGAAGCACAUGGCAAAGCAGGAGUUCAUUGCGCACUUAAGAAGAGGAGGCGUCCUGGAGCGCGGUGGAGGCAUUUUGGACGUGGAGCACGGCCUGGAGCACGGCCUUGCGGUUCCUGGAGCCUAGGGAGGCCAUGCGAGAAACCUGGGGCAGCAAGGUACUGCCUCUUGCUGCUCCUCCCCCAUGUCUGGAGCUCGCCUGGAGGUCCCCCACGCCUUGAGCUCGCUAGAGCAGAGGCCUGCGGAGCGCUCCCUGGGGCAAGGCCUGGGGCGAUCUGCAGGGAGGAGCAGAGGUCUGGAGCUGCAGGGAGGAGCAGAGGCCUGGAGCCGGCGGCGAGCUCUGGAGGCGGCGACGCGAGGAAGGAGCGAAUCACGAGGGAGAGGGAGGAGCGGAUCGCCAACUUUUCAAUUGUAUAA
rnacentral:rRNA from 1 species